rnacentral:lncRNA from 1 species
UGUUUGAUACCUUGAGUCGAUAUGUCAAUGUCCUGAUUUUAGAAGUUUCUGUGACUUUUUUAUCCACAGCAGCAGUCAGGAAAUUAUUUCUUCAGUUUAUUAUCUCUUUGAAAUGCUUACAUGGAUGUACGUGCAACAUCAUAUGCUGAUUGCCAUGGAUGGAACUGAUAACACUCAUUUUUCCAUGGUUUUUUAAUAUUCAUAUGAUGUUAAUUUUAUAGGAAAUUGAGUGUUGGAUGAUUGUUUUGUGCUUAAUUUGCUUUAUCUUGUGAAACAUGAUUCUUACUCGAACUUUGAAGGAAUUUGCAGAUUUAUUGAGUUCGAAAUUGGAACAAUGUUCUGAAAUAGAAGUUGUAGAUCGUCUCGAUACGAGUUCGUGAGCGCAAACGGAUCAUAAAUCGGAGUUCGGACGAGAAAGUUAUGGCUGAAACAAAAACGUCGCGCGCAGCAGUAAAAAUUCGGCGACCCAGACGGCGACCGCCGGCCAGGUCGCCGAAUUCCCUGUUUCAAUUUUUGUCCUCCGGUGGAAAAUUGCGGUCGCCGAAUACCACUGAAGAAAUUGGCCAUUUUUCGGCGACCCAGACGGCGAUCGCCGAACGGGUCGCCGUUUUUAGGCGUGUUUCCGUUUCCUUCCGCGUUUUUUACGUUUUUCCAAGUUAUUUUCGAGCUCAAACACUGUAUUUUACCCUGACACUAUAAAUAGGUCUUCUUUUGACCUAUUUAGAGUUCCCAGCUUUAUUUUUCAGUUCAACAUUAUUUUCAUUUAUAGCUUUAGAACUUUUAGCUUUCCAGUUUUACAAGGUUGGAUUCAAGAUUGAAGAUUCAAGCCGCUACAAUGUUUUAAUUCAGUUUUAUAAUUCGUUUUUCAAUUGUUCUUUAAUUAUGUUUUGUUUUUUUAAUGUUGGCUAGUUUCUUUUACUGACUAGGGUUUGUAAUAGUGAUUGAAUUUAUGUGUUUUGAUUUUUAUAUCUUGUGCCUCCAUUAUGAUUCAUAUUCUGGUGCUUAAUUCUUGUGAAUUAUUGCAAUUUUACAUGUUAGCUUUCAGUUUGAGACUAAGGAUAAUGUUCAGCCGAUUCAGGAAUGCAUGUAUAAUUACCUUGAGCUGAAGGAGAUAGGUGAACUUAGGAGCUAUUCUUUAGGCUAUUGGGAGUUAUAUUCCUUGGAGUCUGAAGGAAAAGAGAUUAAUAAUCUACUCAUAGUGUCGUUAGAGACGUGUGAUUAAAGUGAUCUUUCAUCAUGGAUUAAAAUGGUAAUUAGAUAAUAGGUAAUGCAUAUAGUUGAUUAUGAAAAUACACCCUAGGUCAGACUCUUUAUUGAUUAAUCUAGUAUUUAUGUCUUAUUAUUUAGUUAAUUUUAGUUAAUAUCACCUUCAAUGUUUUACUUGCAUACUGUGAAAGUUGUGUAGGAAAUAGAUAGAGUGAUUUCGUGUUACAAUCCCUGUGGAUACGAUAUCCGAUUGCUGUUUAUACUACAAUUACACCGUGUUAGUUGCGGUAUUUUUGUUGCUAAUAAAAAUAGUGAUCAGGAACUAGCCGACUAGCUUCCCUGCAGUUUCUUGCUGGUAAAUCAUGCAAAUUCGGUUGCUGGCUUAAUGGUAUGUAGCAUCUCCUUAUAUGAUAGGUUGAUAUGGGCAUCAUCUUUUUGGCCACAGUAACUUGUUCCGGUCAUUGCUUCGUUCUGUUAUAUUGUUCUGCAAACUAGAACGCUGGCAUUUUCUUUAAUUUGUAUGAACAUUUAGCUAGUUUUGCUUCGUGAUAGCAUCUGACAUUCUGGGCAGAACAUUUGAUGCAGAUGCACAAACAAUUCUAGCUCGCGAAGGAAAUAUUGAUUUAUCAUUUUUCCAAAGGUACUAUUAUAAUGCCAUGUGGUCUAGCUACUAUUUGAGAUUUUUUAUUUUGAGGUUCCUCAUUUCUUUAAGGUGAAUGCUUGAUGUGUUCUUUCUUGAAGAAAUGAACUAAGAUCCUUCAUCAUCCCUGUGCUUUAUUAUAAUGUUCUAUCAUCCCUCAUCGUCAUAGUAUUAAACAAGAGCUGUCAUUGGGUGCAUUUUUCUAUUAAUUACUUGCUAUAUCAUCCUCAUCUACUCAGUGUUUUUCUAAUUAAAGUUUAUUAUGUUUCAGCAUUAAGUUUGUCAUUUUGUUCUCACUUUUCUUGAGCAGGUCAUUACAGGGGUGGAAGUCUAAAAUAGUGGAGGUCUAAUCGUUGCUUGGCUAUUGCAACCAGUGGAGGUCUAAACCAGCAAAGGACCGGGGUGGAAGUCUAAAAUAGUGGAGGUCUAAUCAUUCUUUCACUUAUUAAUUGAUUUUUUUCUAUUGGGAGUAUCAUGAUGCUCUACAUUGUGAUUCUUGGUUGGCUCUUUGUAUGAUUUUGUGGCAGGUUUGUGGUGGAUUAAAUGAGUCGUACGUUGAGCUGGAGAUACUUGUGAAUUCACAAGAAAAUUGUACCGGAUGGCUAG